ACUCAAAUGAAUUGACGGGGGCUCACACAAGCGGUGGAGCAUGUGGCUUAAUUCGAGGCUACGCGAAGAACCUUAUCCUGGGCUUGACAUGUGCGAAAGCGGGGGGAAGUAGCCUGCGGAAACGUACGGCCAACGGUACCCAGCCCGGAACCCCCUACAGGUGCUGCAUGGCUGUCGUCAGCUCGUGUCGUGAGAUGUCGGGUUAAGUCCCAUAACGAGCGAAACCCUUGCCUCCAGUUGCCAGCGGGUCAUGCCGGGGACUCUGGAGGGACUGCCGGUGUUAAACCGGAGGAAGGCGGGGAUGACGUCAAGUCCUCAUGGCCUUGAUGCCCAGGGCUGCACACGUGCUACAAUGCCGCGCACAAAGGGACGCCAACCCGCGAGGGGGAGCCAAUCCCAAAAAACGCGGCCCAGUUCAGAUCGCAGGCUGCAACUCGCCUGCGUGAAGCCGGAAUCGCUAGUAAUCGCGGGUCAGCAACACCGCGGUGAAUGUGUUCCUGAGCCUUGCACACACCGCCCGU
rnacentral:rRNA from 1 species